rnacentral:rRNA from 1 species
AUACGUAGGGGGCGAGCGUUGUCCGGAAUGAUUGGGCGUAAAGGGCGCGUAGGCGGCCCGGUAAGUCUGGAGUGAAAGUCCUGUUUUUGAGAUGGGAAUUGCUUUGGAUACUGUCGGGCUUGAGUGCAGGAGAGGUAAGUGGAAUUCCCAGUGUAGCGGUGAAAUGCGUAGAGAUUGGGAGGAACACCAGUGGCGAAGGCGACUUACUGGACUGUAACUGACGCUGAGGCGCGAAAGUGUGGGGAGCAAACAGGAUUAGAUACCCUGGUAGUCCACACUGUAACCGAUGAAUGCUAGGUGUAGGGGGUAUCGACCCCUUCUGUGCCGCAGUCAACACAAUAAGCAUUCCGCCUGGGGAGUACGGCCGCAAGGUUGAAACUCAAAUGAAUUGACGGGG